CAGCAGCCGCGGUAAUACAGAGGGUGCGAGCGUUAAUCGGAUUUACUGGGCGUAAAGCGUGCGUAGGCGGCUUCUUAAGUCGGAUGUGAAAUCCCCGAGCUUAACUUGGGAAUUGCAUUCGAUACUGGUUAGCUAGAGUGUGGGAGAGGAUGGUAGAAUUCCAGGUGUAGCGGUGAAAUGCGUAGAGAUCUGGAGGAAUACCGAUGGCGAAGGCAGCCAUCUGGCAUAACACUGACGCUGAGGUACGAAAGCAUGGGGAGCAAACAGGAUUAGAUACCCCUGUAGUCCCUGUCUCUUAUAC
rnacentral:rRNA from 1 species